UACAGAGGGUGCAAGCGUUAAUCGGAAUUACUGGGGCGUAAAGCGUGCGUAGUCGGUUAUCUAAGUCGGCUGUCGGAAAGUCCAGGGCUCGAACCCUGGAAAGCCGGCCGAUACUGUCGGACUAGGAGUUCGGAAGAGGCGAGUGGAAUUCCCGGUGUAGCGGUGAAAUGCGCAGAUAUCGGGAGGAACACCAAUUCGAAGGCAGCUCGCUGGCGAUACUGACGCUGAGGCGCGAAAGCGUGGGAGCAACA
rnacentral:rRNA from 1 species